rnacentral:sRNA from 1 species
UCAUGAAACAUGGAGGGAAUCCACCGC